CUGGUCCAUUUCCCUGCCAUUCCCUUGGCUUCAAUUUACUCCCAGGGCUGGCAGUGAGAUGGGU
rnacentral:miRNA from 1 species